ACGUAGGGGGCGAGCGUUGUCCGGAGUUACUGGGCGUAAAGGGUGCGCAGGCGGCCGGAGCAAGUUUGUGGUGAAAUCUCCCCGCUCAACGGGGAGCGUGCCGCGAAGACUGCGCGGCUUGAGGGCCGGAGGGGGACGCGGAAUUCCGGGUGGAGCGGUGAAAUGCGUAGAGAUCCGGAAGAACACCGGAGGCGAAGGCGGCUGGCUGGACCUGAUCUGACGCUGAGGUGCGAAAGCGUGGGGAGCGAACAGGA
rnacentral:rRNA from 1 species